UACGUAGGUCGCAAGCGUUGUCCGGAUUUACUGGGCGUAAAGAGCGCGCAGGCGGCUGGUCAAGUCCGAUGUGAAAUCUCCCGGCUUAACUGGGAAACUGCAUCGGGAACUGAUCGGCUUGAAGGUGGGAGAGGGUAGUGGAAUUCCCGGUGUAGUGGUGAAAUGCGUAGAUAUCGGGAGGAACACCAGUGGCGAAGGCGACUACCUGGCCCAUUCUUGACGCUGAGGCGCGAAAGCUAGGGGAGCGAACGGG
rnacentral:rRNA from 1 species